rnacentral:rRNA from 1 species
AGUUUGAUCCUGGCUCAGGAUGAACGCUGGUGGCGUGCCUAAUACAUGCAAGUCGAACGAACUUCCGUUAAUUGAUUAUGACGUACUUGUACUGAUUGAGAUUUUAACACGAAGUGAGUGGCGAACGGGUGAGUAACACGUGGGUAACCUGCCCAGAAGUAGGGGAUAACACCUGGAAACAGAUGCUAAUACCGUAUAACAGAGAAAACCGCAUGGUUUUCUUUUAAAAGAUGGCUCUGCUAUCACUUCUGGAUGGACCCGCGGCGUAUUAGCUAGUUGGUGAGGUAAAGGCUCACCAAGGCAGUGAUACGUACCGACCUGAGAGGGUAAUCGGCCACAUUGGGACUGAACACGGCCCAACUCCUACGGGAGGCACAUAGGGAAUCUUCCACAAUGGACGCAAGUCUGAUGGACAACGCCCGUGAUGAAAAGGGUUUCGGCUCUAAAGCUCUGUUGUUAAAAAAAACUGGGUAAAUAACUGUUUACCUUGACGGAA